rnacentral:rRNA from 1 species
GAUGAACGCUGGCGGCAUGCCUAAUACAUGCAAGUCGAGCGAACAGACGAGGAGCUUGCUCCUUCGACGUUAGCGGCGGACGGGUGAGUAACACGUAGGUAACCGACGUAUAAGACUGGGAUAACUUCGGGAAACCGGAGCUAAUACCGGAUAAUAUUUCGAACUGCAUGGUUCGAUAGUGAAAGAUAGCUUUGCUAUCACUUAUAGAUGGACCUGCGCCGUAUUAGCUAGUUGGUAAGGUAACGGCUUACCAAGGCAACGAUACGUAGCCGACCUGAGAGGGUGAUCGGCCACACUGGAACUGAGACACGGUCCAGACUCCUACGGGAGGCAGCAGUAGGGAAUCUUCCGCAAUGGGCGAAAGCCUGACGGAGCAACGCCGCGUGAGUGAUGAAGGUCUUCGGAUCGUAAAACUCUGUUAUUAGGGAAGAACAAACGUGUAAGUAACUGUGCACGUCUGGACGGUACCUAAUCAGAAAGCCACGGCUAACUACGUG